rnacentral:lncRNA from 1 species
AUGAGGGUUUCCGGUAUGCCACUGUGGCUGGAGGGAACUGUGCUGGCUGCCUACUCAGAACUGGCAGGGCCCUUCGGAGUGGGGAGCAGCCACUACGGUACCUGUGGUCACUGGGGGCUGAUGUGUACCCAGGGGGACCUGGGGCCCCUUGCAAGACGGCCUCAGCUUCAUGAGGAUGGGAGGCUUAUGCUAGGCAGCUGCAGGCCACCCUCAGCCCGUAUCAUCGGAAAACGUGACCUCCAAAAGCCACCAUUACGGAGAAGCUUCAUGGCUAGUUUGGCUGAGCCAGGCCCCCACUUCACUGCACUCCUUCCAGAAGGGUGGCUUCGGGCUGCACAGGCACCUCCAGGAGGCCUUCAAAAACCCACACGAGGCAAGGAAGGGAGCCAUCCAGGAAGGAGCCCAGAGGGGUUCCACCAUUCUACUGGCUGCCCUCCUGGUCCGAUGCAGGAUUCUUCACCUGUAGGAAAUAGAGAAACAGGACUCUGGCCAGGAGGGCCGAGAGGCAUGGCAUGGCUAGGAAAGGGAAGCCUGUCUGCCAACAUCUCCCCUCAACCCCGUGUCUCUUUCUCGGCAGGUUUGCCCGCUCAGUGCUACUCUAGAUUCUUCCUGAGGCCUGGGAACCCAGAACCACCAAAGCAGUCCCUUCAUCCAGCCCAAUAUUUUCCCAGAUGUGACUCAGGCCUGGACAGCAGUAAGGACUUUGCGGAGCCCAGCAGUCCAGGGGGCGGAGCCAGACAGGUGGAGGAAGGGAAGCUUGUUCCUGCCAGCCCCUCAGCAUCCUGGACCUUGCAGAGGUGGCCCAAACACAUGGGGCUUGGCCCACCUCACGGAUUAUCAAGAAGGGAGGAGAAUGUGGUAGGGCAGGGAACACUGGGGCCCUUGAAUGCUACCCAAAGGGCUAUCAUCAGACCAUCACAUCCUGGUUUGGAUGUUUUCCGUCCAGGAAGGUCCAUGAGCUCCAGCUUCCCUGGGGAGCAUGGUACACCACAAUGUGUGGGAGCAGGGCCAGGAAAAAGGCCAGUUUUAACCGAUUCUGGGGCCUCUGGCAAGGGGUCUGGGACCAUGAGGCACACCUGUGACAUUCUGCAGUGCUCAAAGCCCGCCUCCCAGCUUCCAGGACAUGAUUGUAUUUCAGCCCAGAACUAG